rnacentral:rRNA from 1 species
AUACGGAGGAUCCGAGCGUUAUCCGGAUUUAUUAGGUUUAAAGGGUGCGCAGGCGGAACUGUAAGUCACCGGUGAAAUCCUACAGCUUAACUGUAGAACUGCCGGUGAUACUGCGAUUCUUGAGUAUAGUUGAGGUAGGCGGAAUGUGUAAUGUAGCGGUGAAAUGCAUAGAUAUUCCACAGAACACCGAUUGCGAAGGCAGCUUACUAAACUAUUACUGACGCUCAUGCACGAAAGCGUGGGGAGCGAACAGGAUUAGAAACCCCAGUAGUCC